UGAUCCUGGCUCAGAACGAACGCUGGCGGCAGGCUUAACACAUGCAAGUCGAGCGAGAUCUUCGGAUCUAGCGGCGGACGGGUGAGUAACGCGUGGGAACGUGCCCUUUGCUACGGAAUAGUCCCGGGAAACUGGGUUUAAUACCGUAUACGCCCUUUGGGGGAAAGAUUUAUCGGCAAAGGAUCGGCCCGCGUUGGAUUAGGUAGUUGGUGGGGUAAUGGCCUACCAAGCCGACGAUCCAUAGCUGGUUUGAGAGGAUGAUCAGCCAUACUGGGACUGAGACACGGCCCAGACUCCUACGGGAGGCAGCAGUGGGGAAUCUUAGACAAUGGGGGCAACCCUGAUCUAGCCAUGCCGCGUGAGUGAUGAAGGCCUUAGGGUCGUAAAGCUCUUUCGCCUGUGAUGAUAAUGACAGUAGCAGGUAAAGAAACCCCGGCUAACUCCGUGCCAGCAGCCGCGGUAAUACGGAGGGGGUUAGCGUUGUUCGGAAUUACUGGGCGUAAAGCGCGCGUAGGCGGAUUAGAAAGUUGGGGGUGAAAUCCCGGGGCUCAACCCCGGAACUGCCUCCAAAACUGCUAGUCUAGAGUUCGAGAGAGGUGAGUGGAAUUCCGAGUGUAGAGGUGAAAUUCGUAGAUAUUCGGAGGAACACCAGUGGCGAAGGCGGCUCACUGGCUCGAUACUGACGCUGAGGUGCGAAAGUGUGGGGAGCAAACAGGAUUAGAUACCCUGGUAGU
rnacentral:rRNA from 1 species